rnacentral:lncRNA from 12 species
CCACAAGGGCCCCAAGUCCAGAGCCCCUCACAACUGUCCCUUACUGGGAUAGGGGCCUGCCAUGUUUGUCCUGUCCCAGAUGCUGCCAGUGCCUAGGGAGAACGAAGAAAGGGACAGCAUCACAGGAGGAGAAAAUAAAGAAACUGCAAGGUAGGGAGUGAACCAGAUUGGGGGAGGAGUGAGAGAAGAGAACUCUGACUCCUCCCAGCUAGGGGCAGAGAGCAAUUCACAGCACUCCCACAGGCCCAGGAAAAGCCUGCUGGCGGUGAGGGAGCACAGAAAUCGCCCUGGCCUAUCUCCCUGGUCCAGGCUGAAGUCCAGCAGAAACAGCAGCGAGUCAAAAUAAACAACCCUUGGAAUCCGAAGGCUGCCUCCUCCUACAGAAAGGCAGAAUACUCGUCGUCUGUGUUGCGGGCCCGGGAUGCGCGCCCUUCAGCGCACAGGCUCCCGCGGAGACCAGGUGGGCGAUCCCGGGCUGGCCGCGGGGCGGGGGCGGGGGGCGUGCGCUGGGAGGGGAGGGCUUUUUAAUUAAUUAAUUUAAAAAAAAAUUUUUUUUUUUUGCACUGGAAGGUUUUAACCAGGGAUAGUUUAUUUUUUUUCCAUCCGGCUAAGUGAGGUUGACUCGGCGUGGCGCACAGGCCCGGUCCGCCCCCCGCGGUGUGGGCUCCCCGCGCCCCCCGCCCGCCGCUUCCUCCAGGCCCUGCUGACCCCUAGCGGCCACGCGGUAGAAGUGAACAGGACGGGGCCAGAGUGCGGAGCGCGGGCGUCUGUCUCGCACCUGCACCUGCGCGGUGCUCUCACCUGCUGUGCACACCGGGAUCACCUGGAGCUCUGAGGACAGCCCUGCCCGG